rnacentral:misc_RNA from 1 species
AACGCAUAUUGCACUCCUUUUUUGGAGUAUGCCUGUUUGAGAAUCUAUAGUAACUUUUCUACAGUAUUAAUCAAAUCAGUAGAAGAUUUGGCGUUUUCUUUGUAUAAAGUACGCUUAAAAUUAUAGCUAGUCAUUUUUAAAAGUGCCAAAGCAAAAAUGUUUUGAAACUCUGAUUAUUCGAGUAAUUUUAACAUUUUUUACUUUGUGAUAAAACAUUUUUUUUAAUAACUAGACCCCAAUGGAGGCUAUUGAAAAAUAGCCCGAACCAUGGUCUCAAAUCAGGUAGGAGGACCCGCUGAACUUAA